GGACAGGGCCGGGGACAGCCAGGCCCGGGGGCUCCCGGGACCCUCUCUUGGGCUCUCCCCGCUCCAGGCCCAGGAGGCUGCCCUCUCGUCCCUCCGGGGCCUGGCCCAGCCACUGGCUUUAAACACAGUCCCACGUCCUGGGGCCAUCGGCCAUCACUGGGGGCCCUGCACCCUGGGAGCCCCACAGAGCCCCGCCCUGCGUCUGGCUGGACCCACGUCAGGGAGCCAGGGGCUCUGAGACUUGCCCAAGCAGGUCCCCUCCCACCGCCCAUGUCCUUUGUCACCUCUGUUGCCCCACGUCCCUGUGAGGGUCACUGUGAGCCCCUCGGCUCUCUGAGGAAGGGACAGACCAGGAGGGGCCCAGCCCAGACUUGAGAGGAGCCCACCCGGGCCCUCAGCUCUAGCCGGGGCAGGAGGCCCGUCUGCGAGUCCCGGUUGGUAUGGAGGCCAGGCCUCUCCACAGGUCUCCGGCUCCUUCCCAGAGGCUGACCCUGUGGCCAGGCCCGCGGGUUGCCUUGGGCUGUGCUGACAUCACCCCUCCUGGGCCUCCAGUGGUAAAGGACGGGACAGGCUGGCAGCUGGAGACAUGGCCCCAGGGGCUGCCCCAGGCAAAAAAGAGCCUGAUCCGGGCUGGGGCCUCCGGGUGGCCCACUGAGAGUCUGCAGGCUGAGAAGCGUUCAGAGGAAGGCUCAUUUAUUGUGCUGUCAGUGUGAGCCCGGGACCUGGCAGCCAGGCAUCUGAGAGGGGAGGGAGGUGGCUUUCCCUGGGCCCAUCCUCCUUACUCUAACGCCUGUGGCCUUUUGUGAUCUGGCCCAGAACACGUGUCCUUCUGCAUGAAAAUCCCGCCUUUACUCAGAGGACCUUCCGGACUCAUCCAGGAGGCACUGCUGAAUGCUGUGGGCGGCGGUGCCAGGCCCAGGGUCAGACUGACCACCAGGGCUGGGUACAUGGGCUAAUUAGAGGGGGACAAGGAUGUGGGAUGGUAUCGGACUAAAACACUUCUUCACACAAAGGAAACGUUCACGUGAAGACCGAGGCUCCGGCGUGGGAGUCUUUACCACCUGUACCUCAGGUAGAGCACUGAUCUCUCGGGGUAUGUAAAGAACCCCAGGAACUUAACUCCGACCCCCCCACAAAUAACCCAAUCAAUACACGGGCUGAGGGACCCAACAGGCGCUUCACAGAGGGAGGAACACCAUCGAUCCACAAAUACGUGAAGAACGUCCAGCAUCUCUGGGGAUUACAGAACAGCAAAUUAAAACCACACUGAGUGCGUUCCACUCCAGUCGGGAUGGCUGCUGGGCACCGUGGCUCACGCCUGUAAUCCCAGAGGCUCCGGGGGAGGCGGGGGCUGAGGCAGGAGGAUCACAAGUUCAAAGCCAGGUUCAGCAACUUAGAGAGACAUUGAUUCUGAAUUUAAAAAACAAGGGGGGCAGGCUGGGGUGUGGUUCAGUGGUCAAGCACCCAGGGCUCAAUUCGCAGUACCUCCCCCCAAAAAGACAAGUGACAGUGACCCCCCAAAAAGACAAGUGACAGUGAAUGUUGGGAGGGCGCGGGGAAAGGUUCACUCACACUUUACCGAUGGACUGUGACUGGUGCGGCCACUGUGGAAAGCAGAGUGGAGAAUCCUCCUUGGAAUGGACCACCAUUUGGCGAGUCAUCCCACCUUGGCAGACACCCAAAGGACUUGAAGUCACCCUACCACAGUGACACAGCCACACAAUGUUUAUAGCAGCUCAAUUCACAACAGCAAAGCUUUGGAACCAGCCUAAGUGCCCUUUAACAGAUGAACAGAAAAAGGAAAUGUGGUACACGUACACAGUGGAAUAUUAUUCAGCCACAAAGAAGAAUGGAGUUAGAGCAUCUGCCCGUCAGUGGAUGGAACUGGAGACUCUCCCGCUAAGUGAAAUACGCCAGGCCCAUGAAACCAAAGCCCCAGGUUCUCUCCAACACAGAUGCUGACUCACAGCAGCGGGGGGAGGGAGGGGAACAGGAAGGACAGUGGAGGAUGGACAUCACUUUCCUGUGUUCCCGUGGGGAUGCACCGCCAGGGUGACUCCACGUCAUGCUCGACCACCAGAAAGGGCUCCUGACUGAGGGGUGGCCCUCCCUGUCUGUACAAUAUGCCCAAGUCCACUCCACGGUCACCGUUACCCAAAGAGAACCAAGUGGGGGGGAGAGUGGACGGCGAGGUCAGCAGUAACCAGAGGAACGCCCCCCCCCCCCCAGGCAGGGCGGGCAGCAGGCGGCUUUGCUGGACUCGGAGGACCAGGGGCCCACAGGCUGCAGCCGUGGGGGCCCGCCCUGGCCAGCCCCGCCCAGCAGAGGACACCGGCCUUUCCCUCCCUCCCCAGGCUCCCCCCGGCUCUCCCGAGGCCCAGUCCAGCAGGAGCCACCCUGGGGAGCUGUCUCUGAGCCCUGGUUUCCUGUCUGUUAAGCCGCCACCGCGGGCCUGGCAGGUGUGUGCUGAGGCUUAGGGGACAGCAGGGGACUGUUCCCAGUGUGUCCUGGCUGGGACCUGGCCCUCGUCAGCCAGGGUUGACCCGCAGCCCUUGGUGGUCACUCCUGGGUCCUGUGGUGGUCACUCUGGCCCUGAGCCCUGGAGAUGGGCUGGAGCCUGGCCUCUAGGUGUCCCCGGGGGCGGAGCUGUGGCCGCAGCCGGCCCAGCUACAGCCAGGAGAGGACAGCGG
rnacentral:lncRNA from 1 species